CAGUUGAACUUGCCCAAGUCAAAUCCAAAAUGCCAUUGAAAACUUGUUCGACUCACAGAUUGUUAAUUAAUGGAAAACACAACAAUUUGGCAUGUAAAAUAAGUUCGACUUCAAAUUUUGAGUUGGGCAAAGUCGAAAGUAUAGAGGGUGCUUUUCGAAAGACUAAGGACACCCUGUAUACCGUAUAUAAUUUUUUUUUUACAGGUACGAUUUCACUGCUAGAUGUGGAUUCAAGCUGAAUGCAAGAUUCACCUGAUAAUGAUUAAUACAAUAUGAAGAGAAGAUUUGACUGAAAGAUACAGGAAACUAAUGUUUUAAUGUUAUUCAACCACAAUGAAAAAUAUAUUUUAUAUUAUAAUAAUCAUAAAAAAAUGAAGUCAACGCUCUGUAACGCCAUCUACUGUGAACCCAUCUGCAAGAAGCCGAGAUGCUAUUAAGAUUUAUUUUAAAUGUAAUCAAAGUAUUAGAAAUGUAUCAGUAAUGUCAACAUAUGAAGACAAUAUCUUUAAUACAGUACAGUAAUUCAAAUACGUAAUUGAUUGAUGAAUUAGACAGGCCUAUGGUAUAUGUAUUAAUAAAUUUAUGCUGUAUGCCGGCAAAGAAUGGUACAGAGACAAGAAGACUGCAGGUAAGUGGGUUGGUUAUUUACUCAAAGAUCUUAUAACAAAAUAGCACUCACCUAUUUGUAAGCGUAAUGCAUGAAAGACUCGUAAAACUGCCCCUUCUGCAAAAAAUCAUACAAAGCAAAACUUAUUUACUGUACUGAAUUGUAUAUAUGGCGCUCCCUCCAAAAACCUAUCUGUACUCGGGGGGGGGGGGCAAAAUUUUCAAGGAACUGGGAAAGAAAUUGAAAAGCCAAAUUUGUUUUACUAAAUUUUAUAUAGCCCUCCCUUCAAAAAAUGCAAAGCCAAAUUAGCUUACUGAGUUUUAUAUAGAGCUCAUUACAAAAACCUUAUUUGUACACAUGCACUAAAAUCUUUCAUUGACAAUCUGAGAAAAAGUGACUGAAACUUUCAUAAAACUGCUCCCUGUACAAAGAAAUGUGUACGAAGCCAAUUUUGUUUACUAAAUUAAGAUAUGGUUCCUCCAAUAAUUUGUUAGUUGGAUAAUUCAUGGGAAAUUUCAUGAGACUGCCAAAAAAUUGUUUAUUUUAUAUAGUGCUCCAUCCAAAAGUUAUUUGUACGCAUAAUGAAAUCCGAACUGCAUGUUGCAUAUUGCGAGUUUGUUACAAGAUCUUUGAGCUACAUUGCAUUAGGUGCCCCUAAAUUAAAUGAGGGCGCUGUUGACGGUAAAGAGCGCCCUCUAUGGAUAAAGAGGGCACUUUAACGUGAGCAGUGCCUCAUUUCAUUUGGGGGCGCUAUUUAAUGCAGGAACCCUCUGAAUAAAAUGAGGGAUUUUAUUUAGGGGGCGGUAUAUUAUAAAAAUUGUAAUGAUGCAAGGAACAAAUAAAGGCAAGAGAAUUUGAA